AUACUUACCUGGCAGGACAGACACCAUGAUCACGAUGGUGGUUUUCCCAGGACAAGGCUUAUCCAUGUACUCCAGGUGUGCUGACCCCUGCGAUUUCCCCAAACCUGGGAAAUUUGACUGCAUCAUCUGUGGUACUGGUGGACUGUGUUCAUGCUUUCCCCCU